UAAAGACCAAUCCCAAAGUCUGAUAGGACUGCUUCUAAGCCUGGAAUGGACUGUACCAAAUAAAUAAGGGCUGGCAUAGCACUGCAAAUAUUUAACUAAGGAGUCAAAUGGGACGAGUCCUAAGGAUCACGGACCGUUCAUUCUAACAUCAAUAAUGCCAACGUCAAAUAAGAACGCUCUCUAACGGGAUGUGAUCUUUAGUGUGUUUCUCAAUCUAUCUUUCUGCAAAAAGAACAAGAAAAUACAACUAUAAAAAAGAUACAACAUAUUGCAUGAUUAAUCAAAAGCGAUGCCAUGUCGGAGGCAUAGUUGUUAGUGUAUGACUUUGGAAAAAAAUUGUUCAAUAGGAGCAAGGGCUUUUGGUUUCAAGAUGACCGACAUCCAAAAUGAUGACUUUGACCUUCUUUUGAAGUACUUCUGGAAUGCUGGAACUUUGACCGGAUGGAGGGUAACGGUUUUUGAUGGCACAGAAAAAAUAAUUAGGAGGUCAUUACCAACACCUAAACACAUCUCAUGUUCCAUGACAAUUUUGAAUUUGGUCAACUUUAAAGAAUAGCGAACACUGUAAUAAACACCAUACUAUCGAAUUCAUCCAUUCCUCAUCAUAAAAACCAAAAAAAAAAAAAAAAAAAAAUCAAGUCAUUCCUAUUUUUAGCCUCAAAUCUGUUAAAUGUUCAUUUGUAUCUCAAUAUACUUAUACGUAUAUAAAAAAGCUUGUCCAUCCACUCAAUUCUUUACGUAAUCAAUAAAAAUGAGUGGGCGCUGCUCAAGAGACAUAA
rnacentral:lncRNA from 1 species